CUCAGUUCGGAUUGGAGUCUGCAACCCGACUCCAUGAAGCUGGAUUCGCUAGUAAUCGCGCAUCAGCCACGGCGCGGUGAAUACGUUCCCGGGCCUUGUACACACCGCCCGUCAAGCCAUGGAAGCCGGGAGUGCCUGAAGUGCGUGAGCGCAAGCAGCGCCCUAAGGUAAAACCGGUGACUGGGGCUAAGUCGUAACAAGGUACC
rnacentral:rRNA from 1 species